rnacentral:rRNA from 1 species
AUGGCGGUGUCAGGGAGCGCUCAGAGCCGACGGUUCGCCGCAGCGUGCGGCGUUCUCAGCCGCUGCAUCAAGGCGACGGACGCGCGGCCGGCCGCCACGGUGGUCCUCCCCCUCAUGCCCGGAGCCGAAGUGCCCGCGCAAGACGAGCACGCGGUGGGUCCUGCGCCGGCGAGCGCGCAGAUGACCAUCUUCUACGGCGGGCAGGUGCUGGUACUUGACGAGGUCCCAGAUGACAGGGCGGCCGAGCUGCUCCGUGUCGCUGCCGCAGCAGGCACCACGCGAGGGGACGGCGACCUGCCCAUGGCGAGGAAGGCGUCGCUGCAGCGGUUCAUGGAGAAGCGCAAAGGAAGGCUCGCCGCUCGCGCCGUCCCCUACAGCCGGCCCGACGGCGACGCGUCCUGCUACCAUCUCACGCUGACGCUCUGA